UCCCUGUCCCGGGAGUCCUCAGCACCAUCUCGUCCAAGGCGAGGAGGAGGGGCUGGGCCAGCUGUGGAGGCUCGGUGCCCCCUCUCCGGGUGCCCCGUGAGCCUAGCACACACCUGCCCCCUGCCGGAGAAGGCUGGUGGGUGGCUCCUUCCUUCCCCAGGAUGCAGGAGAUGCCGGGAUGCGAGCUGAGCGAGCAGGGAGCUGCUGACACAGACGCCUCACACCUGCUGGUGGAUGCCCCUGGGUAGGGGGUCUCUGUUCUGCUGUCAGCCUCGAACGUGCCUGUGGAUGUGAGCAGGGUCGGAAGAGCAUCCCCCACCUGGCACCGAGAGUCAGCACUCCCCUGUUUCGGUCCUGGAUGAACUGUUUUACAAAGCUGGCAUUUGUGCACUCCUGCUGGGAGCCGGACCCACUUCUAGAGCCUUGCAUUCGCCCUCUCUUCCACCUUCAGACACGUCCACCAUCUGUGAUGACCCGAUGGCGUCCCCACUUCAC